rnacentral:rRNA from 1 species
UGGGGAAUCUUGCGCAAUGGACGAAAGUCUGACGCAGCCACGCCGCGUGAGUGAAGAAGGCCUUCGGGUUGUAAAGCUCUGUCGGAGGGGACAAAAACGUUUAGGGUUAAUAGCCCUAGAUCUUGAUGGUACCCUUAAAGGAAGCACCGGCUAACUUCGUGCCAGCAGCCGCGGUAAUACGAAGGGUGCAAGCGUUGCUCGGAAUUAUUGGGCGUAAAGGGUAGGUAGGUGGUAGCAAAAGUCCGAGGUGAAAUCCCUGAGCUUAACUCAGGAAGUGCCUUGGAAACUCUGCUACUAGAGUACUAGAGAGGUUCGUGGAAUUCCCGGUGUAGCGGUGAAAUGCGUAGAGAUCGGGAGGAACAUCAGAGGCGAAGGCGACGAACUGGAUAGUAACUGACACUCAACUACGAAAGCGUGGGUAGCAAACA